rnacentral:tRNA from 1 species
GCCUUCGUGGUGUAGUGGUCAGCACGCUCGACGUGUAUUCGAGAGGUCCGUGGUUCGAGUCCCGGCUAAGGCA